GUGAAGGUGCUGAACUUGUAUACACCUGUCAACGCGUUUGAAGAGCGUGUGUCAGUACUGUUCAUAAGAACAAUACAGACACGUUUACGGGAUCGAAAGGAGUCGCCUCAGCUGCUGAUGGACACCAAACUCAUCUACCCCGUGACCUUCCCCUUUAACCCCUCCUCCUUGGCACUGGAAACUAUUCAGAUACCCGGCAGCCUCAAUGUGGGCUUCCUCACUCGUGUGUAGACCUGUCAAUCACCUCACCUCAACCAAUCACACGGCAGGAACAGGGAGCCAAAAUAUAUAAAUAAAUAAAAAAUAACGAUUAUAGGUAAAUAAGCCACACACUUAAAGAGAAUGCAAUUUAGAUCAUGUCAUCAAUCCUUCAUUUUGCACUUCUUCAUCAUUUUUAUUUAUUCAAUAAAAGAGUGAAUCUCACGAAACCUGUCAAGUAUGUGUUCAGAUCACAAUUGACCCCAUAAUCAAAAUAAACUAUUUUGCUUGAAGAAAAUUAAGCUCAUUAAGACAAUUAAUAUUUUGACAUUGUGAUGCUAUUUUAAUUACAUUUAAGCACUUCCUCCCAAAAUUCUGAUUACUGAAAUGCAAAAAGAAAGAAAAAAACUCAUUUUAACUCAAUAUAUUAUUGACAUUGUACAGUGUUUGCUAACAUUAUUCCAAAUAAUUGGAAUUCACUUGAUUGCAGUAAUUAAUUAAUCAUUAAUACAGUGAUUUUUUAUGAAUAAAAAAUAAGGUAUUAUUAAUGAAAAUCAACAUUGAGAAUAAUGUCAAUAAAAGAAAUGCUCAAAACACAAAUCCACAGCAGCACAAUACAAAAUAAUAAUAAUAACCCAGUACUGACCUGGAUAUUUUUGUGAGAUUCACCUUUUAAACUAAUAUUUCAGAGAUGUUUCACUUAAUGAACGUUACGAAAGGAAGAAUCAAGGUCAAAAUAACUCAUUCUAACACUAAUGCCUUUUCAUAUCACAACCAGAAUAAGUUCAGGGGGCUGUAUAAUCUUAUACAUUUAUAAAUAUCUAUGAAUAUGUAUGAUGCUAGGAUAUUUUAUUUAUUGCUUUACCCUACCAGAUAUUUUUUUUUCUCUCAGAUGCUAGCUAACAUGGAUAUCCAGUUGCGGAACAUACUCUAGUCCUCUGCACUCAUCCAUAUCAGAUUAAUAACUUAGUCUCAGUAAAAAA